GAGGUGGUAGAGAAACAUCAACUACUGAUUUAUGGACUAUGGGUUCUUGAGGAUCUAUAGCUUUAUACUCUUCAGAGACUUUCUCUUCGAGCUCCACUAACCUUCCACUGUCGUCAUCUUGGAUAAACUAUUUUUCUAAGAAUAUGAUGCUUCGACUCAUAAUCACAUUGUGAUCUUAUGGAAAGUAGAAGUAUUAUCCCAUGGAUUUUUUUGGAUACUAUAUAAAGUGAGCUAUAAUAGAUCUAUCCUCUAGCUUAUCCACCAUCUGUCUCUUGACAUAGGUCGGAUAUCCCUAAGUCUUGAGAUAACCC
rnacentral:lncRNA from 1 species